rnacentral:rRNA from 1 species
AUUUUGGACAAUGGGGGAAACCCUGAUCCAGCCAACCCGCGCGUAUGAUGAAGGCNUUNNGGUUGNANAGUACUUUUGGCAGANNNNNAAAGGCAUCCCCUAUUACGGGAUGCUGCUGACGGUAUCUGCAGAAUACGCACCGGCUAACUACGUGCCAGCAGCCGCGGUUAUACGUAUGGUGCAAGCGUGAAUCGGAAUUACUGGGCGUAAAGCGUGUGUAGGCGGUGCGGAAAGAAAGAUGUGAAAUCCCAGGGCGCAACCUUGGAACUGCAUUUUUAACUGCCGAGCUAGAGUAUGUCAGAGGGGGGUAGAAUGCCACGUGUAGCAGUGAAAUGCGUAGAUAUGUGGAGGAAUACCGAUGGCGAAGGCAGCCCCCUGGGAUGAUACUGACGCUCAGACACGAAAGCGUGGGGAGCAAACAAG